GGUUACAUCGGACUUUAUCACUUGUUGCUUUUCCAUUAUUACAGGAUCCAAGUAACUAACUCUACAUCAAUUCUUUGGAAGUUGAUGCUAAGGCAUGUGUAGACUUCGUGGCAAAAGUAGUUGGAGUAACUUCGGGACCAAAAGGAAGAAUUUUGGUGUUACAGAUUAAAUUGCAUCCCAAGAUUGUUAAAGAUACUGAAAGUGUUUUAAACAGGAUGAAACAUAUUCAGCUCUCAUAUGGGAUUUGAUAAAACUACCAAAAUGCUCGUUUCAGAACUCAAAUUGGCAU